GGUGACGUGGCAGAAAGGCUAUGCGCGUGUUUGCAAAAUACGUCUAUGUAGGUUCGAUUCCUAUCGUCACCUCCA
rnacentral:tRNA from 1 species